UCUAGGUCUGCUCUGGACUGGAUCAACAUUUGGAUCAGCCCAGAUUCAAAACUAAAUCUCCUAGGGUUGGCCUGAAGCCACAGUAAGAGGAUUGCAGUAGGAUUCUUUGCAGUUGAAGCACUGAAGUGACAGCUGUUCAUCAUUAUCCUCAUCAAGGGAAUGUAAAAUAAAAAUAGUAAUUUGUCUCUGAUCUUUGAGGCAAAAAAGAAUGGUCUGCAAACAUUUAACCUUUUAUGUGCAGUUCACUGAUGCUGUUUACAGAACGGUAAGAUCUGCAUCCAGUGCUGCAUUUCUGAUGAUAUGAAGAUCCUGAGGAUUCUGACUGGGAAGAGCUACAAAUUUGAGGGAAAUCUUCACUCCAGGCAUACGUGGAUUAACAAUAAAGUAAUCUCCAGAAUCGAACUUUGAAUGUUUACAUUAUUGUCAUUCUUCUUUACUUCCUCCCUUUCAACUGUUCCUACCUUUUUAUCCUCUGUGUAUCUUUUACUCUCAUUUCUUCUCUAAGUAACAUCAUAAUACAUAUUACAAAACUAAGAAUAAUGUGAAAUUAAACCACUAUUAAAGAAAACUUGGGAUAUUAAAGAUGUUUACUUGAUUAAACAAAAAACUCAACAAAAAUCCUUAUUUGUUUAUUUGAGAGGCAGAAAGACAGAGAGAGACAAAGGCAAACAGAAAGACAGAUCUCAAGCCUGCAAGUUUAUUCCCGAAAUGCAGGCAAGAGCUGGGCUGGACCAGGCUGAAGCUGGGAGCCAGGAACUCAAAGUCAGGUCUCCCAUGUGUGGGUGGCAGGAACCCAGUCACUUCAGCCAAUACAGCUGCCUCCCAGGGUUUGCAUUGGCGGGAAGCUAGAGUUAGGAGCAAGGGCCAGAUAUAAAACCUAGGUACUCUGAUAUGGGAUGCUGGCAUCCUAACUAACAUUUUAACUAUCAGGCUCUGAUGUGCCUCUAUAUCUUUUUUUUUAAAUUGCUUCUCAGCCCCCAAACGUCUGCCAGAUGAGAUCCCAGUGGAAAGAACGGGUCAUCAAAGAAGGAGGUACCUUUCUCUGAAGGGAGGAGAGAACUUCCACUUUGACCAUGGCCUUGUCUAAAUAUGAUCAGAGUCAGUGAACUCAGGGGGCUUCCAUAGCCUUGGCAGCUCAUGACAAGAGCCUAGGGUGAUUACUGAUGCCAUAAACAAGAGUGUCAAUUUGUUAAGUCAACAACAGGAGUCACUGUGCACUUACUCCUCAUGUAGGAUCUUUGUCCUUAGUGUGCUGUACACUGAGAUUUAAUGCUAUAACUAGUACUCAAACAGUAUUUUUCACUUUAUGUUUCUGUGUGGGAGCAAACUGUUGAAAUCUUUACUUAAUAUAUGCUAAACUGAUCUUCUGUAUAUAAAGAGAAUCGAAAAUGAAUCUUGAUGUGAAUGGAAGGGGAGAGGGAGUGGGAAAGGGGAGGGUUGCAGGUGGGAGAGACGUUGUGGUGGGGGAAGCCAUUGUAAUCCAUAAGCUGUAAUUUGGAAAUUUAUAUUCAUUAAAUAAAAGUUAAAAAAAUAAAAAUAAAAAAAAGAAAUCCCCAAUAAAUAAGCUGGCUGAGACAACCACGAAUAACUAAAAUUUGGAGGAAUAGGGGGCAGGAGAUUAGCCUCGUACAACUAAUAGUCAUUGAAUUGAAGAUGCAUAAAACAACCACUUUGGCUGCAACUGAGAAAAAAUGUAGAUAUGGGGAUUCUCAGGGAAAUCUGAAAAUUCAUAUUCCCCAUCCUGCUGCCCUCCUAAAAAUAGCCAUUCUAACCUAAUUUUUAAUCUACCUAAAGACCUCUAUUGCUUUAUAUAACAAAGGAAUUCAGAAACCUAAAAAUUGAUGUAGCAAGUAUUGUACACACAGUAAAAAAUGUUGUUAUUUAAAUACUCUCACUGCUGAUUCUUGUUAAAAUUGUGAAUAUUUAUUUUGGGUAGAUCUCUUUAUUUAUAUACUGAGUUUGCUUCCCAUAAAAUAAUAACUUUCCACACAAAGGAUAAAUGGUUGAAGCAGGAUAAUUUAAGUACUUUCUUUUUCAAAAACAACCAUUGCCUUCAUCACCACUUUUUGUUAUAGAUAUUAUUAGCAUUUUGGAAAGAACUAAGAUUAUUUUUCAAGGAUUAACUAUUGGGAGAAAUAUCCUCAUUUGUUUACAAUGUAACUUUCUUACAAGAAAAUCCUUUACCUAAAAUGAAGUGAAAUUAGAGUCAAUGGCUACAAGUUUCCUUAAGUUUAGUUUUUAGUGAAAACAAAACAAAACAAAACAACAGAAAAUUUAUCUGGAAUAACGAAAUGGGAAAUGGAAUAUGUGCAAAGAGAAAAAUCACUAGGGAAUGAGGAUAAAAUAAGGGUGCGUUAUAAAAUAGUCUGUGUUGGCUAAUUUUGUGUGUGAAUUUGGCUGGGCCCUGGGUGCCCAGAUACUUGGUAAGAUAGUGUUGAAGGUUUCUGUGAGGGUAUUUUUGGAUGAGAGUAACUUUUAAAUUGUGGGCUCUGAAUAAAGCAGAUUGCUUUCCAUAAAUACUAAAAUGACCUCCUCUACUCAUUUGAAGGCACGGCUGUUUCAUGAAGACUGGUCUCCCCUAAACAGGAAGGAAUCCCCCAGCAGGCAGUUCUCAGUCUCCAUCUGCAAUGUAACCUCUUCCUUUCCUGGUCUACAACAGACAGGACAUAACCUGGAACAUCGGCUCUCCUGGGUCUGCAGCCUCCUGCCCAUACUGCAGAUUUUCUCCGUAAUCAUGUGAGCCGAUUCCUUGUAAGCACUCUUUUUCCGCAUAUAAGCAUAUCCCAUUGGUCUGCUUCUCUGGAGAGUCCUCAGUAAGGCACAGUUCCAUUGUAGAUUACAGAGAAGUAUGCAGCUUAAUGAUAGUAUAUUGUUGUCUUAGUUCUUUUUUUUUUUAAUGCCAUAACAGGAUACCACAGACAAGGUAAUUUAUAUAAAAAUAAAUUUACUUCCCUCCCACCCGCAACCUUCUCACAGUUUUGGAAGCUAGGGAGUCCAAGACCGAAGGGCUGAAUUUUGUGAGGCCUUCUUGCUGUGUCACAACACGCAGAAGGGCAAUCAGCAUGAGAGACAGAAAGAAAAGGCAAGAGAGGGCCAAACAGACAACAGACCUCUCAGGAUGACAAGCCCCUCCAGACCGGAUCACUUUGCAAACACCCCAGCUGUUAAUACUAUUGUGAUGGCAACAAAAUUUGAAUGCAAAGUUUAGAGGGGACACUCAAACCAUAGCAGUUGAGUAAACAGGAGCUACUUGAAUUCGGAAAAGGAGAAUAUCAGGGAGGUCUGUGAUACAGCGUUGGGAUAAGAGUUGUGCUCUACUGAUUCACCUUUACUUCACAGCAUUCUCUAAGGGAGACAGAGGUGAGGCAACAAGCUCUUGUUAUUCUGCUUUUGUGGUAGAUCCAAUGUUAAUCUGGGAAGCUUCCUCUCUCUCACUUUCAGACCUGGUGGUGAGAUGGGACUGCUUGUCCUGGGGCUGAGCCAUUCUAUUCUCUAAUCCAGUCUGGCCACUGGGAUGACAGAGGUGGCAUGUGGUCCAGCAAAAUCCCACCACAUUUGAAAACUUGUUAAGCAAGAAAGCCUGGGAGCAAGCCUGCCUCAGCAUGUAGACCUGUUGAAUCCAGCAAUUGGAAACCAUUAUGCUUAGUGAAAUGUCAGUCCCCAAAAGACAAAUAUCAUAUGUUUUCCUUGGUUUGUGGUAGUUAAUAUACAGAGCUCAGAAAAGGUAAUGUAUAUAAGCAAAAUUGACAUUCUGAGAUUUGAUUGUUUUUAAGCCCUUGUCUAUACUCUUGAAGAACAGUGGCUUUUCUACUUACUACUUGUUGAAUUCUUAAUUUGGUGGAGGGUUAAGCUUGCAAUUAUAAAAUAAACUGAAAGUAUGUCAUUGUAAAAAUUAAAAUAAAAAAGACAAAAGGAAGGAGGAGGGAGGGUGGAAGUGUGGGUGUGAGAGAACAUGGCGUGGGAUGGAUCACUGUGCUCUUAAAUAUGUGUAUAUGACACACAUGAAAUUUGUCUACCUUAUGUAAAUAAAAAACUGAUCUACAAAUAAAGCCGAUCUACAAAUCCUGUGAU